ACCAAUCGAACUGUCCUUGUUUCCGAAGGCAUUGUCACCCCUCGGGGCUUGGCCAUGGACCAUGACACUGGCUAUAUUUAUUGGGUUGAUGACUCCUUAGAUUUAAUUGCCAGGAUCCAUCUUGAUGGAGGAGAAUCUCAGGUGGUUCGCUAUGGCAGCCGUUACCCAACUCCCUAUGGCAUCACUGUGUUUGGAGAGUCUAUCAUUUGGGUGGAUAGAAACUUGAAAAAAGUCUUCCAAGCCAGCAAGCAACCAGGGAAUACAGAUCCACCCGUAGUGAUAAGAGAUAAGAUCAACCUGCUCCGUGACGUGACCAUCUUUG
rnacentral:lncRNA from 1 species